CCCUUAGAUGUUCUGGGCCGCACGCGCGCUACACUGAUGCACUCAACGAGCCUAUCCUUGACCGACAGGUCCGGGUAAUCUUUGAAUCUGCAUCGUGACGGGGAUAGAUUAUUGCAAUUAUUAAUCUUCAACGAGGAAUGCCUAGUAGGCGCAAGUCAUCAGCUUGCGUCGAUUACGUCCCUGCCCUUUGUACACACCGCCCGUCGCUCCUACCGAUUGGGUGUGCUGGUGAAAUGUUCGGAUCGGCCGUUUGUCGCGGUUUCCGCGUCAUGUGGCUGAGAAGUUCAUUAAACCCUCCCACCUAGAGGAAGGAGAAGUCGUAACA
rnacentral:rRNA from 1 species